rnacentral:lncRNA from 1 species
AACCCACUGAGCAAGGGCAGGGAUCGAACCCGCAUCCUCAUGGUUCCUAGUCGGAUUCGUUAACCACUGCGCCACGACGGGAACUCCCCAGAAAAGUAUUCUAUGUCUAUACAUGUAUGCAUAUGUACUUUUCUCUUUUGAAAACAAUUUGUAGUGUACUAUGCACACUGUACUAUACCUUCCAUUUUUUACUUAAUAUAUCUUUAUCAGUACACAUCAGUAUCUGGAGAAUUGGUUCAUUCUUCUCAAUGGCUGUAUGGUAUUGAGCAUGUAUUAAGCAGGUAUUGCAGUGACUUGAGCUGCUACAGUGACAAUGCCAGAUCCUUAACCCACGGCUCCAUAAAAGAACCACAAUUACUGUCAUACUGAUUUACAGAAAUAAAUCCUUAUAAAAAUUUAGCAAAACAAAAUUGAAAUGAAUGAAAUAGAAAAUAACUAAGAAAAAUGAAUGGCUAUUUUCAUUCUCCAAAUGUGCAAAAAUGAAAAAGGGAAUGUGGAAAAAUGAACAGUCUCACACAUUUCUACAUUUGUUUUUAGAAAGUAAUGUAGCUAUACCUUUCAUAAAUUAAACAUGCCCAUACUAUUUGGCUGAGAAAUCCCAGUUUUGAACAUUAAUUCUGCAUUGAUCAAAGCCCUAGAAUGCAAGGACGUAUGUGCAAGGAUUGUAGAGCAACUCUUCAGGGUGGCAAAAAACUGGAAAUAACCUGAAGGUCCAUCAAUUAUGUAAUGACUGAACAUAUCACAAUAAUGAAAUAGAAAUUAAACAGUUACCUAAAAAGAUAGGUUUGAGCUAUAGCUACUGAACUAGAUGAAUUUUCAGAAUAGACUUCUUGAUGAAAAUAAAAGAUUGAGAAAUAAUGCAGUAUAGCAUGAACUUAUUUUCUGAGAAAAACAUGAAAAACUACUCAUACGUAUAUAUACAUGAAAACAGAUUUGAAGUUUUGCAUCAGCUCAUUAAAAUUGCUUCUAUCAAUAAUGAUAUGGUUAUUAAUAGAGAUAUGACUUAGUGAUGUGAUUACACUUUUCCUUUAAAAUUUAUACACCAUGGUAAAUAAGUAUUUACUACUUUUAUAAUUUUAAAAAGUGAAUAAAGAACACAAAAAAUAAAAAUAUAUAUGAUUAAAUGAAACAGUUUUAUAGGAAAUACUUUUUAUUGUCAUAGAAAGAUUAAUGAUUUUAAAAGGAGAUGCUUUGAAUAUGGAUACAACUGAGUAACCAAAGUAGUAAUAAUGAGAUGGUUUAGAUGAUGCUUAGUAAUAUACAGACUUUUUUGUUUGUUUUUUGGUUCAGAGACCUACAAUCUUAUAUUGGCCUCAGUAUCCCUAUUUCUCACAAGGUCUCUGGAAGAAAGAUAUGCUCAAAGAAGUCCAAGGAAAAUGUUGCCUCAUUAUUACCUGGGCAUCAGCUUCAUCAUCACCACCACAUCCCCUGAGCUUACUUUACUACCCACGGACUUCCUUUAGCCCUAUCCAAUGGAAGCCUAGAUGGUAGAAUAAAAGGAGGCUGAAGACAGGCCAUGUUACAUUUCUAACUCUAUACUAGCGGAUCAAUACUGAGCCCCAUAGUAGUACAAAAAUAUAUCUCUGCCACAGCAAAGGAUAUAGGGCUGAAGCAGAGCCCCAUAUAGGUUGUUUGCAUUUCCAGAAUUUCAUCCACUAGAAGAAAAUGACAGACCAGUGUCUUGAUAUUUAUCAGAUCACUGUUCUUUGCCUGUUGAAAAUAUUUAUCAGAUCAGUGCUCUCUGCCCUUUGAAGAUGGGAUUCCUACUCUUGUUGCCCUCUCAUCCUUGAGUAAGAAAGAGGAGAAUGAAAGAAGAAGGAAGAAAGGACUUAUGUUCCUUGGACAAUCCAGGUUAAAAAAAAAAAAAAAAGGAAUCUAUUAAAAUUCUAAAGCAACAACUGGAAAGAGGUGGAAAUUAAUCUUUAACCACUUUUUCAAACUUUGGAGGUUCAUGAAAAUAAAAGCCACAUUUUUUUCCAAGCACUCCUAGGUUUCUCAAACCAUCUGUGCUUCAAGGAGAAUUUAGUUCAUGUGUUUUUGGUUAAUUUACACUUAACUCAUCAAAAUGUUGACUUGUUAUUCCAGCUAUUUGAUGUCUCAGAAAUCAUACACACAUUUUAAUAUAUGUUCAAAAGUCUUUCCUCCAUUUGGAUAAGGAAAUCAUCAUUAGCUAGCAGUAAACAGAACCUGGAAGAGCUUAAGUCUGAUGCCGAAUGAGAACUAAGGAAAUUCCAAGGGGUUUGAAACUUGGCAUGCUACUUUCCACACACAUGGUUACAAAAUCUUUAAAGUGAUAAACACAAGAGAUGACAAAAACCCAUCAAAAUCAUCACAAGCAUAAAUGGAGUCUCUGGAAUGUGAAGAUGUUUAGUCAGAGGACUUUCAAUAGCGUCAUAUUAAUCCUAUGCUUCUUUCUUCUUUACUUUUUUUUGGGGGGGGGCCCACACCUGCGGCAUAUGGAUGGUCCCAGGCUAGGCGUCUAAUUGGAGCUGUAGCUGCUGGCAUAUGCCAGAGCCACAGCAAUGCCAGAUCCGAGCUGUGUCUGUGGCCUACACCAUGGCUCAUGGCAAUGCCAGCUCCUUAACCCACUGAGCAAGGCCAGGGAUCAAACCCACAACCUCAUGGUUCCUAGCCGGAUUCAUUUCCACUGCGCCAUGAUGGGAGCUCCAAUCCUGUUUCUUAAGUGAGAAAACUUCAAGGUCAGCAUACAUGGCCCCAAUUUGGCCCAUGUAUACCAAACACUAUGUACAAGCCAAUCAAUUUUCCAAGAAAAAAGACAAAGGAUAUCUUUCAGAACUUUUGAUAACCCAAUGAUCUUUUAAGUAAAAUGUAUUAAGCAUAUAUCUAUUAAAAAGCUCCUGUAUGUCCAUGUCAAUAGGGUGGAAAUAAUUUUUCCUUUCUCCCAGCUGACAUAUUUAUCUCUAGACCAGAAUACUUGAGUAAAAGUUACCAUGGAUUAAUGUUUGAUGGUCUAGUUUCACAAAUGACCAAAGCUUCCGUUAAAUCUGAAUUGAUUCUCAUGAUAUUUACAGACAGAUGUUUAGAGCUGUUUGAUGCAGAAACCUGGACGUUUGUGACUGAAGACAGAAAGAGGUUCAGAAACUGAAAACCACAAAGGGUGUUCUGGGGCCAAAUAUCAUGCAAGUACCAAAGGAACCAAUUCAUGUCCAAGAAUGAACUAGAGAAUGAAACUGAAGUUUCAAGAUUCAGAGACGUGGAUCAAUAAGAACGUGAAACAAAAGUGAAUCAGCAGGAACACGAAACAGAAGUGGGUCAAUAGGAACAUGGAGCUGGAGGGAUUGGAGCAGCCUAGAGGUCAGAGAAGUGUUUAGGGGCAGUGUGGGGAGUUGGGAGGGCAGAGAGGUAGAAGAAGAGCUGGUUUAGGGCACUUCACAUGAAAACUGACCUCCUUGAGGGGAUUGGCUUGUUUACUGCCCACAGAUAAAUUCAUAAAAUAAUAGAAAUGUCAGGGACAGAAGGAAACAUAAUAAUCAUUUCAUUUGACUUUGUUAAUUCCAACCCUCUCAUUACUGCGAAUUUCAUUGCCCACAUUGGAUGGAUAACCUUUUUAUGUAGCUCUAUCCUUGCUAGUGUUGAAGCUGAGAGAAGCAGCUGUAAGGGCCUCCUCUUACUUCUGGUCCAGGAUUCUUUCUAUGCACCACAUCCCAAGUGAAUUAGUCAUUUCCCCUAUUUUCCCUUUCUUCUUUUUAAAGUUUUUUUUUUUUUUCCCCCACUUGCCUCAUUUAUUCCCACUCGAACUCAAAAUUGAAGUAGAAGUGACAAAAUGUCACACCGAAAGCUCGACUGGAAUUAUUCUCCGAGGGGGUUGCAGCAAAGCAUGUGUGUUUUGUGAAGUUUCAAGCUUAUUCUCAGCACAUGGGUUCAAAGCUGUGAACCAACCUUGAACCUUGAGAACUGUGAGUUGACAAGAUGGGACUAAUAAUAUGUAAAAGAAAAAAAAAAAAGGUUCAGAAGACUUGUUGGAGGUCAGUGCUUUUUUUAAAAAGAACAUUUUGGUGCGUUAAGUGUAAAUGAGUCAGAAACACGAGGAUUUCAUUUCCUUUGCCACAUGCAUGGGUUUAAAAAUUAAUGGAAAAAAGUGCCCAUCACAACAUGUUUUGAAUUUUAUUGGUCUCUCUCUCUUUUAACUAUGAUUUCUAGAAGAUGGAAACUGAAGAAUGAAGACAAUGGAAUCAAGUGUUUUAAAUGUAUAUAUAACACAUGACACUUGUUAGGUGGGGGAGUAAGAACAUCUCGUCUGAGAGCUCCCGUUCUGAAAGCCUUGUUAUUCUUUUAGUGUUGGACCUAAGUGUAUUACUAAAAGAAAUUUCCAAGUAGGCUCUUAAUCUGAAUUUAUUGUGUGAAAAAUCAGGCACGUGGCUGUGAGGAACCCAUCAUUAUAAGGAGAGUGACGCUUGGGUAAAGUGUACAAUCGGGCAACUGGAAUAAAAGAUAUGUAAAUUACUUUGCUGAAAUGGGUAAGGCCUUCUAAAAAAAUAAAACAAUCUACUGGAUGAUCUUCUGUAUAUACCAUUUUAUCUGCCUUAAACAUUUUAUUUCGUGUGGUAUAACUAGGAUCUUUGUAAAGUUCUGGUAAUUUCCAUCACGAGAGAGUAACACAUAUUUAAGGAUUGUCAUGAUCUGUUUCUAUUUUUGCUUUUUCGGCCAACUUUAUGGGGGAAUAGUUGGUUUUUAGUCUAUUAAUAUUAUGUGACUCCUUAGUCAAAUUCCUGUUUUGUGUAAGAAUACUCAUAAUUAGCUACAUGAAUCUGAAAUCUGAACAGGCGGUGUCUAUAAACUCACCUCUUUUCAAACUAUACUUGUUCUCUGAUUUGCCCAGGAAUUUCUACGACAACAUACAAGUUUAAAUAAAUACUCCUUGCUUAGCUUGUGGUUGGGCUUUGAACACCUUAGCAUCAUUUAAAUCAAAUCAUUACAGAUGCUAGACUGGAUGAAAUCACUACGAAGCUAUGCUUGCAAUUUUAUUAAAAUGAUGGGUUGGUCAGGACAAAAAUAGUCAACUCUAUUGACUGCCAAGGAGUAAUACAUUCAAAAUCGCCUACCUACAUAGACGGGGCCAGGCCAUAUCAUGCAGCAAAGGCUCUUUACUUGUCAUCUGCUAUUAACAAUGUGAUUUGUGUGUGUGUGUGUGUGUGUGUGUGUGUGUGUGUGUGUGUGUGUGUGUUGUUUCAUGUAUUUUAAAUAGAAGGAAAACUGGGCUACAUUUCAAAAUUUAAAUAUGGCACAUGAAAAGGCUUUGUUCACAUUUAAUUAAAUUACUGUUUAUGUGCCAUAUGUUUGAUCAGACACUGCUUGUAUCCCAGAUGGAGGUAUUGGGUAGAAAUAAGAUACAAAGGUUUUCCUUUUUUUUUCUCUCCUCUUCUAAAACUAUGAGGUACAAAUUGAGAUGAUUUUCUAAGAAGUGUCAUCACAAUGACAAACUCAUAUGGCCACUGCUGUGACACAAGCCUUUAAAUGAUCACUUCAUGGCUCAUUAACUCUCAAAACUAUAAAGACAACUACUCUGAAGAUAGGUAGGACCCUUGGCUCUGAAACACAAUACUUCAAUUCUCUUCAAGACACAGUGCAACCUUCCCCAGGUAUACCCUUGCCCUGAUUUGCCAAAACUCUUUUCUUUAGGAUUUUACAAUAGGUUUAUUUUUCAAUUAUUCACACAAAAUAAAGAGAUACUGUUAAUUUAAAAAUGUACAGUUAAGUUAUGGAAAUGUAAAUUCACUAAUAUCUCACGCAGCUUGAACUGGAAACAAAUAGAGACCUUUUACGAUUUUCCUACAUUCAGGGGAAGUGGAUUCACUUUGCUCACUGGCCCAGUAUACGUGCUUUCCUGAGAGGAAGAAAAGAGUCAUUCUAACCAUAUGAUGGGAGCAUGUGUUUUUCUUACUUUUGCUGCUCUGCUGUUUUUGCCAUAUUUUCUGAGUUCAAGUCCCUCAUCAGUUGGUGGGCGUGUAGAUUUAACGACAUUUAUUUUGGAAAACAUGUUCUGCUGAAAUUUUGUAGUGAUGGAAGCCAUUUCAUUCUAAAAUUGGCAGCUGAAACUAACGCUAUGUCC